UUCCAGUUUGCCAUUGUUUGCCUGCCCAAG
rnacentral:piRNA from 1 species